rnacentral:rRNA from 1 species
UACAGAGGUCUCAAGCGUUGUUCGGAUUCAUUGGGCGUAAAGGGUGCGUAGGCGGCGCGGUAAGUCGGGUGUGAAAUCUCGGAGCUUAACUCCGAAACUGCAUUCGAUACUGCCGUGCUUGAGGACUGGAGAGGAGACUGGAAUUUACGGUGUAGCGGUGAAAUGCGUAGAUAUCGAGAGGAACACCUGCGGCGAAGGCGGGUAGCUGGGCCGACACUGACGCUGAGGCGCGAAAGCCAGGGGAGCGAACGGG